UGAGCAAUCUGCCCUUCUCAUCGGAAUAAGCGUUGGAAACGACGUCUAAUGCCGAAUACGACCUCCUUUCGCAUGAUCGGAGGCGGAAAGCUCCGGCGGAGAAGGAUGAGCUCGCGGCCUAUCAGCUUGUAGGUGGGGUAAUGGCUCACCAAGGCGACGACGGGUAGCCCGGCCUGAGAGGGUGACCGGCCACACUGGGACUGAGACACGGCCCAGACCUCCGUACGGGAGC
rnacentral:rRNA from 1 species